UACGUAGGGGGCAAGCGUUGUCCGGAAUCAUUGGGCGUAAAGAGCGUGUAGGCGGUCCGGUAAGUCCGCUGUAAAAGUCAAGGGCUCAACCCUUGAAAGCCGGUGGAUACUGCCGGGCUAGAGUCCGGAAGAGGCGAGUGGAACUCCUGGUGUAGCGGUGAAAUGCGCAGAUAUCAAGGAGGAACACCUAUGGCGAAGGCAGCUCGCUGGGACGUUACUGACGCUGAGGCACGAAAGCGUGGGGAGCAAACAGG
rnacentral:rRNA from 1 species